rnacentral:lncRNA from 1 species
CGAGUCAUCUAUGAGGCUAAAUCCAUUUUUACCACAGCAAGGCCAUGCCUGGCUGGUCAAAUCAAUCACAGUUCUUGUGUCUCAAACCUAAAUCUUGAGCUGGUCAUUUUUUAACAUCGGAGUCUUUUUUUUUUUGUCAACUGAUAUUAUUGAUACAACUAAGAGAAAUACAUGGUGAAAUACAACUUAAGCCGGCGGAAGACGAAAAUUUCCCCGGAGUCUAAAGCUCAAACAAGAGAAACAAAGCCGGCGGACAAAUAGAAAUCCUCGGAAACAUAAAAGAAAACCAGACAAAUUACAAAGCAGAAGAAAUAAACCAAGAAAGAGGACGAACCCUUAACUAAGAUAGGACAUUUAGGCUUUAACCCUUACAUAACACAAUAGUCUCAAGAAACAAGAAGAUCUCUUCUUUUGAAGCACUUGUAGACGAGAUUUACCGAGGAUGCACACGGCCAAUCCGACGAUAACAUCAACUACCUCCUAUCAGCCAAUCUCUCGAAACCAGAAGACUUCGUAACCCGACAAGUAAGACUCGAAAACGCUUCCGGAUACGACGAUGACGACUGCAGCGUCCAUAAACGUCUAGAUAGAAGUCUUCAAAACGCAAUCAAAUCUCAACAGAUUUGCAAAGCAAGGACAAGGAGCGAAGCCUAACCUCUCGAAAAACCAAGCUCAAACAAGCACGAUGACGAGAAAGCUAUCAACCACAACGAACAACAACAACGAGAAGAACCAAAUGCAACCAAACAAGACUAACAUGUCUUCAACCAAAACAAUGCCUAUGCUUAGCAUGGGAACGAUCCCUAAGGAAUCAAAGGUGGGACGAGUAGAUCAAGGGUGAUAGGAAAGACAAAGGCUGGGCGGAUAAAACGCAAUCACAACCAAACACCACAUACGGCUUCAACACGAUGAAAAGAACAUGAGCGGAAGCAACACUAGGGAAGGAUCAACAAAGAAGAUACAUUAUUCUUCGAGCCACACCGUGGAUCUAUCAGAUCCGGAAUUACUAACAUCUUCUAUGUAACCAAACUCCCAACAGAACUGACCACUCCAACCGCAACUAUAAACCCAAGAAAGACACUCGAAGCAAACCAUAAGACUCCACAAUCGGAAACCACAAACUGCUCAAGAGACUAACCAUAGAACCCAAGCUAACAAAACGAACGAGAUCACGGCCCCAAAUUCAAGUGAAACAAAAUUUUGGAUUCACAAUGAAACCCAAAUCUUAACCGAAACUUCAAAUUGACAAAUUUGGAGGUCCAACAUCAACCCUCUGAGGAGUAGCUGGCCGCCGACGCAACACAAAAGCUCCGACGUGAAGAUCCGUUGUCUGCGCACAAGUGAAGCCCAUCUCCAUCAAAACCCACCAGCUAAAGGAAACGAGAAACUACAAAACACCAACUAGAAAGAAGCUAGAGUACCCUCUCACGGCAGUGGCGAGGAGCGCCGGCCACCGGAGAGGGCUAAAGGAGGACUGCAACUUGUUGAGCGGCUAGGGCGAACUUGCGAGAGAGAAAGAGUUUUUUUUUUUCUUUCUUUCUCUGUGUGUCCUUAUAGCUAGGUUUAACAUCGGAGUCUAGACCGUUGAAAUUGAAACAUACAUACAUGCUCUAGUAUGAAAUCUUUGAAUGAUUUAUUAAUUAUAUAUAUAUAUAUAUAUAUAUAUAUAUUACAUUUUUUUUUUGGUAAAUAAAUAUGAGAGCAAGAACUGAUUCUCUUUUAUUAUUUC